CGGCCCCGCCGUGCCCUUGUGCGGGCGCUGCUUCUCGGGCCUCCCCGCCGGGAGGGUGCGGCGACUUUCCCUGUGAUUAACUAAAACAAGCCGGCGGCGGAGCGGCCGCCUGCUGCCGGUGUGCCCGAGCCGAGCCCGCCGCCGCAGUGGGCAGGUAACACCGUGCCCGGCGGGAGGGCAGUGCGGCUCCACCGCCCCUGCCGCGCGCGGCCGGCGGGCCGAGGGGCCGGGCCGGGCCGAGGGGCCGGGGCGGCCCCGGGCAGAGCCGGCGGGAGCGGCGAACGCCGCGAGAGAAGCGCUUGUCUGCGGCCGCCGCGACGGGACGAGGGCGAGAGGGACCGGGAGCCGCGGCGGCAACCCCGGGACAGCGCCUGGCCGCCCUGCCCGGCCCCAGGCCGGCACGGCCCCCUCUCAUCAGCCCCCUCUCCCGCUCGCAGACCGGCACUCCCUCCGAGACGAGCGCUGCUGGACGGAAAAUAAAGUCUAAAAGGAAAAAAUAACGCCUGUCAAAUCUACCUCCGGCUAGUUCGUCGCCCGAAAAGAGAGGGGCAAAGCGCGUAUGCCUGCGUGGGGGUGCCAGGAGAAAGAUGAGUGUUUCUUUCAUUAACCUAAUGGAAUAAAAGCAACAGCCACCAAAACUUCAACAAGACUACACAAGUAAAUGCCAAACAGCAAACCAUCUGCACGGACUCAUUAAACAAGGAUCCCUCGCGAAGGUAACGAGCAGGACAGAAUCCCUCUUCUUCAGCUCAAGAGAGGAAAGGAGCCCGCAGCAGCCAAAUCACAAACUACGCACCGCUUUCAAGCUGCAGCCCCGCCGCCCGCCCGAUCUUACGCGUGUGCAUCCUAACUCCGAGCCCCUCGCUGGGAAUCGUUUUCUGCGUGUGUUAAGCACAGCGAACAAGCUCUCAUAGCUCAAAAAUGCUUUGGACGGCGCAAAGGGGAGGGGAUGUCUUGGGGCUGAUUUUUUUUUACAAGCUUCUACAUAAAAAAGUUUACAAUA